GGUUAUUUAGUUUAAAAAAAACAAAUGUUUUGAAAACAUUAAAUAAAUACACAUAUUUUAAUAGCCG
rnacentral:tRNA from 1 species